AUUGAACGCUGGCGGCAUGCCUUACACAUGCAAGUCGAACGGUAACAGGUCUUCGGAUGCUGACGAGUGGCGAACGGGUGAGUAAUACAUCGGAACGUGCCCGAUCGUGGGGGAUAACGAGGCGAAAGCUUUGCUAAUACCGCAUACGAUCUACGGAUGAAAGCGGGGGAUCUUCGGACCUCGCGCGGACGGAGCGGCCGAUGGCAGAUUAGGUAGUUGGUGGGAUAAAAGCUUGCCAAGCCGACGAUCUGUAGCUGGUCUGAGAGGAUGAUCAGCGACACUGGGACUGAGACACGGCCCAGACUCCUACGGGAGGCAGCAGUGGGGAAUGUUGGACAAUGGGCGAAAGCCUGAUCCAGCCAUGCCGCGUGCAGGAUGAAGGCCUUCGGGUUGUAAACUGCUUUUGUACGGAACGAAAAGCCUCUUUCUAAUAAAGAGGGGUCAUGACGGUACCGUAAGAAUAAGCACCGGCUAACUACGUG
rnacentral:rRNA from 1 species